rnacentral:rRNA from 1 species
UACGUAGGGGGCUAGCGUUGUCCGGAUUUAUUGGGCGUAAAGAGCUUGUAGGCGGUCUGUCGCGUCUGCUGUGAAAAUCCGGGGCUUAACCCCGGACCUGCAGUGGGUACGGGCAGACUAGAGUGUGGUAGGGGAGACUGGAAUUCCUGGUGUAGCGGUGAAAUGCGCAGAUAUCAGGAGGAACACCGAUGGCGAAGGCAGGUCUCUGGGCCACUACUGACGCUGAGAAGCGAAAGCAUGGGGAGCGAACAGG